rnacentral:rRNA from 1 species
UACGAAGGGGGCUAGCGUUGCUCGGAAUCACUGGGCGUAAAGCGCACGUAGGCGGACUCUUAAGUCGGGGGUGAAAGCCCAGGGCUCAACCCUGGAAUUGCCUUCGAUACUGGGAGUCUUGAGUAUGGCAGAGGUUGGUGGAACUGCGAGUGUAGAGGUGAAAUUCGUAGAUAUUCGCAAGAACACCAGUGGCGAAGGCGGCGACCUGGACCGAUACUGACGCUGAGGUGCGAAAGCGUGGGGAGCAAACAGG